ACUCCCGUAAGAUCUAAAUAUGGAAGGUCGUAAAUUUGUUCCGUACAGCCAUGAUAGAGUCGUCACAUUUAAUGAAGGUGAUCUACCCUGGCCAAAGGUUGCUCUAGGGUCCUUCUCGCG
rnacentral:ribozyme from 1 species